UACGUAGGGUGCAAGCGUUAUCCGGAAUUAUUGGGCGUAAAGAGCGUGUAGGCGGCUUGGUAGGUCCGCUGUGGAAACUCGAGGCUCAACCUCGAGAUGUCGGCGGAAACCACUUGGCUAGAGUCCGGAAGAGGAGAGUGGAAUUCCCGGUGUAGCGGUGAAAUGCGCAGAUAUCGGGAAGAACACCUAUGGCGAAGGCAGCUCUCUGGGACGGUACUGACGCUGAGACGCGAAAGCGUGGGGAGCGAACAGG
rnacentral:rRNA from 1 species